UAUCCCGCGCCCUUAUGGAAACGUAAACAACCAGUAAUUAUAAUAGGUGUCACGAUCGGCGUUUCUGCCAAAUACCGAUAAUACUUACUCAUAUAAUUGAUCAUCAUAGGAUUUUAACCAGAAUUUUAGAGUGGACAUCGCCGCUUUUCGAUAUUAAUCGCAAGGUAUAGUGCUUGAUUGUUUCCGGUCCGGAAUAUUGAAUUGUUCUAUUCCGGUUGUUGUUGUAGGAGGUUAGUGUUCUCCUGUGACUCAAUGUUAACACGCACAAUUAAGUUGUAAGUUAUUUUUUGAGACCGAGUAAAUGAUGCCCGUGAUGUAAAUAACUUGGCUCACUGUCAGCUUUGUUGAAAAGGUGUUGAAUGGGUAGACUCCUCCAAUCCAUGCAGUAUGUUAAAUACUGUUGUAGGUCACUUAUGCAAAUGGGUGAACUGCCAGUGUUUUAUCACAUAUAUUUUACUCUAUAUUAUUCUCGUGGAACAGAAAACUUUAUUGCUUUCUAGUUGGGGUGCAAACCAAGUAGUACUAUUUGCGUAAUCCUCCAAACAAUCAAUCAAUGUGCGUUGCAGAUAAUUUGCAGCUGCCCCUUCGUACUUAAUGCUUAGUCCAGUGCCAAAAUUAGUUAUUUGAAAGACCAUGGUCAUUUAGAGACGCAUGGGGAGAGAGGCAUUUAAAAGUGUAUUGUGUGAGUAAAUUAUAUGUAACUAAUAGUCGAUGAGCGCUAAAAGUACCGUUUAAUAUGAUUGCAGGAUCUCGGACCAGAAAUGUUCUUGACAUGAGCAUAGAAGUCCAUGGAGUCAGUUUUACCUGAAAGUACAGGAAGAUCGGCCUGGAGGUGUUUCUGUCCUGGACAUCAGCCGUGCAGCCCAUGGAAUCAUCAGAUAUAAGUUGAGUUGGCGUCACAGUGUUAACCGUUGGGCCAGUAAUUUUUUGUUACCCCCCUGUAAAUUCAUUCACCACCCACAUUGUGGAGGGGUCUAGCGGAGCCGUUCCGCUCAACGCUGUGGAGUCAGCGGACCCCUUGCAUGGGGACAAUACGUGCAACGCGUGACCUCACUGCGUCAAUGAGGGGGCUGGACGUGUCGCCCUAAGCCGUCCAAAAAACCUCCCCCCCCCCCUUCCUCCCGGCUGCGGCUGCUGUGGAGGUAAUAGCGGGGUGCCGCCGCUACCGCCGUGACGUCACGGGCGUCUUGGGCGCUGCUGUGGGGGCAGUGGGGGUAGUAGUAGUAAAUCUACUGCUGCCUCUACGGCUCCGUGACAGCUUCAUCCGAGAUGCCCGUGACGUCACUGCUGUAGUGGUGGCAGUCUGCUACUACAUGCACAGUUACCACAGCUUCUAGCUAACUGUGUAUGAAAUCAAGUAAAAUGUCAGAAGUAGUCAUUUUUUAAAUUCUUUAUUAUUUCAAAUCAUUUACAUUAUAAGAGUAAGUCUUCCUCUAGUAGCCGGCUUCUUUCUGCUGGUUGCUGGUGACUUGAGGUGGUCAGCAUCAAGUCCAGGCACAUCCCUUUGGACAAGAAGCAGCAUCACUUCCUAUUUUGCUACGACUGUACCAUACAAAUGAAAUAAAUAGCAGCAUUACUGU